AUUGAACGCUGGCGGAAUGCUUUACACAUGCAAGUCGAACGGCAGCAUAGGUGCUUGCACCUGAUGGCGAGUGGCGAACGGGUGAGUAAUACAUCGGAACGUGCCCAGUCGUGGGGGAUAACGUAGCGAAAGUUACGCUAAUACCGCAUACGAUCUAAGGAUGAAAGCGGGGGACCGUAAGGCCUCGCGCGAUUGGAGCGGCCGAUGUCAGAUUAGGUAGUUGGUGAGGUAAAGGCUCACCAAGCCGACGAUCUGUAGCUGGUCUGAGAGGGAGACGAGCCAAACUGGGACUGAGACACGGCCCAGACUCCUACGGGAGGCAGAUGUGGGGAACUUUGGACAAGGGACGCAAGUCUGAUCCAGCCACUCCGCGUGCAGGACGAAGGCCUUCGGGGUGAAAGCUGCUGUUGUACGGAACGAAAGAGCUCUUACUAAUACAAGGAGUCCAUGACGGUACCGUAAGAAUGAGCACCGGCGAACUACGUGCCAGCCGCCGCCGUAA
rnacentral:rRNA from 1 species